CCUACGGGAUGCAGCAGUAAGGAAUAUUGGUCAAUGGACGAAAGUCUGAACCAGCCAUGCCGCGUGAAGGAUGAAGGCCUCUGGGUUGUAAACUUCUUUUACAGGGGACGCGGUACCCUGGGAAUAAGCACCGGCUAACUCCGUGCCAGCAGCCGCGGUAAUACGGAGGGUGCAAGCGUUAUCCGGAUUCACUGGGUUUAAAGGGUGCGUAGGUGGGUCUGUAAGUCAGCGGUGAAAUCUCCGAGCUUAACUCGGAAACUGCCAUUGAUACUAUAGGUCUUGAAUCAUCUGGAGGUGAGCGGAAUAUGUCAUGUAGCGGUGAAAUGCUUAGAUAUGACAUAGAACACCAAUUGCGAAGGCAGCUCACUACGAGUAUUGACACUGAGGCACGAAAGCGUGGGGAUCAAACAGGAUUAGAUACCCUGGUAGUC
rnacentral:rRNA from 1 species